rnacentral:sRNA from 1 species
AUAUAUCAACAGAAGCGCCUUGACGAGA